UUAUUCAUCACCCUUAUAAAGUUUCGUUGAAUAAAUAAAAAAGAACAAUAAAUAGCGUUACAAAUAUGUCAAAAAUAGGAAUGCUUCUGUUAACUUCUUGUUCUUGUUCUCCUUCGUAAAGGACUUCUAGUUGUUUUUCCC
rnacentral:ribozyme from 14 species